rnacentral:rRNA from 1 species
GAUAAACGCUAGCUCCAGGCUUAACACAUGCAAGUCGAGGGGAAACGACAUCGAAAGCUUGCUUUUGAUGGGCGUCGACCGGCGCACGGGUGAGUAACGCGUAUCCAACCUGCCCACCACUUGGGGAUAACCUUGCGAAAGUAAGACUAAUACCCAAUGAUAUCCCACGAAGACAUCUGAAUGGGAUUAAAGAUUUAUCGGGGAUGGAUGGGGAUGCGUCUGAUUAGCUUGUUGGCGGGUUAACGGCCCACCAAGGCAACGAUCAGUAGGGGUUCUGAGAGGAAGGUCCCCCACAUUGGAACUGAGACACGGUCCAAACUCCUACGGGAGGCAGCAGUGAGGAAUAUUGGUCAAUGGGCGAGAGUCUGAACCAGCCAAGUAGCGUGCAGGAAGACGGCGCUAUGGGUUGUAAACUGCUUUUAUAAGGGAAUAAAGUGGGUCACGUGUGACUUUUUGCAUGUACCUUAUGAAUAAGGACCGGCUAAUUCCGUG